rnacentral:rRNA from 1 species
CCGGUAAACGGCGGCCGUAACUAUAACGGUCCUAAGGUAGCGAAAUUCCUUGUCGGGUAAGUUCCGACCUGCACGAAUGGCGUAAUGAUGGCCAGGCUGUCUCCACCCGAGACUCAGUGAAAUUGAACUCGCUGUGAAGAUGCAGUGUACCCGCGGCAAGACGGAAAGACCCCGUGAACCUUUACUAUAGCUUGACACUGAACAUUGAGCCUUGAUGUGUAGGAUAGGUGGGAGGCUUUGAAGUGUGGACGCCAGUCUGCAUGGAGCCGACCUUGAAAUACCACCCUUUAAUGUUUGAUGUUCUAACGUUGACCCGUAAUC